UCAAAACAGCGGACUUCGGUCCUUGCUGCACCCUUGUCUUUUGCGUACCGUAUGUUCCCUCGGCGGGCUUGCCUGCCGGUUGGACAUUAUCAAACCUUUUUGUAGUUGCAAUCAGCGUCAGAAAAUAAUAAUAAUUA
rnacentral:misc_RNA from 1 species